rnacentral:rRNA from 13 species
GUUAAUGUCUGUAUAUAAUGUAAAUAUUAAUAAAUGUUUUAUCUAUCUAUCUAAACCUAAGUUAUGCAACGUCGGGCGCGGUAAGUACUUGGAUGGGUGACCGCUUGGGAACACCGCGUGCCGUUGUCU